UUCCCUGCGUAGUACGACAAGCAAGAUAUUUUAGAACCUACAAGUUUCGGAAUUGGGAGCCGAUCUCUGAAUAUGGCGUGUAUGCUUGUAUUUAUAUAAGAAACCCAUAAGUAUUCAGGUAAGCACCCACCUGUUUAGGUACAGGUCCGUAAAAUCUCUUGAGAAUGACGGCUAAGGCGGGGUUU
rnacentral:other from 1 species